CGCUGAUAAGCCUCUCUCCUAACCUGUUCUCCUGUACGUGUCGUCAUCAGGUGAUCGCUCUCUGCUCUGCCGAGCCACCUGAUGAUGCUCUGACCUCCAUUCUCCGUCCGGCUUCCCGAGGCACCUGAUGGUCACCAUACCUGGUGCUUUAAAGCGAGUGCAUGCGCGCAGUGACCAGGCGGUGCCGGGCAGGUUGUAAGGGCUCGCAGAGUUGUUUGUGUGAGUGCAAGGAUGUUCAACAUACUCUUUGUUUCCCAGCUGCCAAAGGGGUUCAGAAACCUUUUUGACAUAAAAUCCUUUAGGGAAAUGUAAGUGAUGAAAAUUUCAUUCACACGAUAAUUUCCUCCAGUUUCUAAUUGUCUUUCAUUUGGAAGGCAAACUGUCAAAACCACUCAGGAAUAAAUAAAAUACUGUUUUAUCCUGUUGACGUUCAUAUCCUGUUUGCCACAUGGGUCACACCACCUAAAUAGGAGGGCAGGCCCAUGCCAGUUGAAAACCCACAUCUUAUUGAGCAAGAUCCUAUUAUUUAAGACGUUCUUCAACAAGAACAACGGAGAAAGAGGUUGUGGUCUUUUAUACUGUCUGCUGAUGAGCAGAGAUUGAGAGAGGAAGUUUGGGCUCUAAAUAGCAAAUCCUCUCAUGGCCGAGAGACCCUACAGACUCAGGCAGCAGGAAAUACCAUUGUGUGUGGCAUCUUCAGCAUCGAGGUUUGUGGCUAUAUGCCAGAAGGUUAAAAAAAAAAACCCUGAAACUUCUUCCUGAGGCUGUGGAGACCCACCAUGUCUUGUGUUCAAAAAAAGAAAUAACAGGCCCCAAAAUGCACCCCCAACCUGAUGACAGCAAACCAAGCGUAAGUACAGUUUCAGACCCUCCCAGGAAUGUGACCUUUAAGCAGUCAAUUUGAAAUGUCCUGACCUUUCAACCUUGUUAUGAAAAGAAGUUAAUCUUGUCAGUUUACUGUUUUCUUGUUUAUAACCUAAGAGGUGACACAAGGGUCACAAGGAUUUAUGAGCUUGUUUUGAGAGAAUGCCUUCAAGGAAGUUAUGUCACAGAUAACCAGCCUUCAGCUGCCGAUGAUGCCCAGAAGUCUGCUUGCCCAAGGACUUACCUGGAGUGAAAGAAACAGGGAUUUCCCCUUUGUUUCUUGAAACUCCUCCUGCCAAGGCCCUUAGCUCUAUAACCCACCCCCCCGCCUUCUUCUCUCAUGAAGGCAGAUUUGAGAGAACCCAUCCUCUCACCUUCUUGUUUUAGCCAGUUUGAAUAAAGCUUUCUCCAUCUUCA
rnacentral:lncRNA from 1 species